rnacentral:rRNA from 1 species
GACGAAGGUGGCGAGCGUUGUUCGGAAUCACUGGGCAUAAAGCGCACGUAGGCGGCGACGUAAGUUGGGUGUGAAAUCCCUCGGCCCAACCGAGGAACUGCGCCCAGUACUGCGUUGCUUGAGGAUCCAAGGGGUGCAUGGAAUUCCCGGUGGAGCGGUGAAAUGCGUUGAUAUCGGGAGGAACACCGGUGGUGUAAACGGCUUUCUGGACCAUAACUGACGCUGAGGCACGAAAGCGUGGGUAGCAAACAGG